UACAGAGACUGCAAGCGUUAUUCGGAUUCACUGGGCGUAAAGGGUGCGCAGGCGGUCGGGUGUGUCAGAUGUGAAAUCUCGAGGCUCAACCUCGGAACUGCGUCUGAAACUACUCGACUAGAGUACUGGAGAGGGUAACGGAAUUCACGGUGUAGCAGUGAAAUGCGUAGAUAUCGUGAGGAACACCAGAGGCGAAGGCGGUUACCUGGACAGUUACUGACGCUCAGGCACGAAAGCAUGGGGAGCAAAAGGG
rnacentral:rRNA from 1 species